CAAAAAUUUUCUAGUUCUGUAUGAUCUGACCAGAAUGCAAACAUGCCCUGGAUUCCAUAUAGUAUGAUCUGACUGGGAUACAGCAUGCACAGAAUCUUUCAGAAUUAUGAAAGGUAACCCACAGAACUGAAACUUCCAAGUGAGUACCAGCUUCAUUUCUCUACUUCCUGUGCCUCAAGCACAUGGUAACUUCAACUACACAAGAGCAGCUUCACUCAUGAGCUCUCAACAAUAUGAUUCUCUAAACAAGCCAUAAAAUUAUGAGACUACCAGUUGACCUGUUCGUCUUCAAAGGACCCACCCUUCAUGAAGAGCUACAAACUUUGGGUCCUGGGAGAGGAAGAAUCAGUGUUUUCUAGAGACAAAAUCCUCUGAAAAGAAUCUGGCUGUUGAAAGAUGGCAAAGAAGUAAAGAGACCCAAGAUUACAUACAAUAGUUUGUGUGUUUUAAAUA